AUUGAACGCUGGCGGCAGGCCUAACACAUGCAAGUCGAGCGGAUGAGUGGAGCUUGCUCCAUGAUUCAGCGGCGGACGGGUGAGUAAUGCCUAGGAAUCUGCCUGGUGGUGGGGGAUAACGUUCGGAAACGGACGCUAAUACCGCAUACGUCCUACGGGAGAAAGCGGGGGGAUCUUCGGACCUCGCGCCAUUAGAUGAGCCUAGGUCGGAUUAGCUAGUUGGUGAGGUAAUGGCUCACCAAGGCGACGAUCCGUAACUGGUCUGAGAGGAUGAUCAGUCACACUGGAACUGAGACACGGUCCAGACUCCUACGGGAGGCAGCAGUGGGGAAUAUUGGACAAUGGGCGAAAGCCUGAUCCAGCCAUGCCGCGUGUGUGAAGAAGGUCUUCGGAUUGUAAAGCACUUUAAGUUGGGAGGAAGGGCAGGUAAGUUAAUACCUUGCUGUUUGACGUUACCAACAGAAUAAGCACCGGCUAACUUCGUGCCAG
rnacentral:rRNA from 1 species